UAAGGAUUCUGCUUCAAUGAGCCUGUGAUAUGGAAUCAAUCAAAGAAAAUGACCUGCCAUGGUGCAACCAGGAGACAGACAUAGUAAAGUGGUAAUAACGUAUAUAUCACAAUGGGAGGCCAUAAUUCAUGUGGAGGACAUGUUAAAUUAUAAAAGGUGGCAAGAAGCAUUUUGUUACUGAGACACAGUAAAAUGGAGUCAGUCAUAGUGAGGGGGCAGUGAGGACUCCUUACUGAGCCUUCACAGAUCUGUCAGAAUGAAGGUGGACAGGCCAGGCUUUCAAGCACUCAGACAGACUUUGACUGUUGGAGAGGGCUGUUUCACAACUCUGACAUGUUGUCACCUCAGUCCCAGAUAUUUCCUGCUUGCUAACCUCACAGUUAUCUUCCUCAUUUUUAGCUUCCUCUUGAGGAUUUCAGAGCUCUUCAAAAUGUUCGGCCUUCCUGUCCUGUGUGCAUUUGCUGUCUGCUGCAGUCCUGGGCAAGAGGUCAGGCAAGUGCAGGGUGGCAGAGGAGUGGACCUUCAGCGACAGCACCAGUGCUGAACUGGAAGUGCUGCAUUGAAAAAAUCUCCACUUAAAAAGCCCACUUCAGGGUCCCCCGCUCCGUGUAUUUGACAAGCUGAGUUCGACACUCAGUCUGAUAGAGUGUCAGUUUGUCAAAUACCCCAAGCGAGGGGCUCCAUGACAACGGGCAGGUGGCUGAACUGCAAAAGAGGGCCCCCCACCACAGAGGACAAGUCCAGAAACAGGAACAACAGAGCUGCUGUGCAAAAGGUCUAGUGCCAAGAGCAGAGGGGCAGAAGAGUGUAAGCACAACUCCAAUGUGUCGCCGUUGUGCCAAAGAGACGAUCGGGUCAGCAUCAAGAAAUGGAGUAACAUGAAAGAAAUGCAAGCGUAAGUGAAAGUCAUGAGAAAUGGUGUU